CCGCCCCGGUUACCGGAUCGGUUCCUCCCGCUGCCGGAGCCUCAGAGUCGGGCUGGAUGUGGAUCAGCGCCGCCGUCCCACCGCAACAGAUGUCUGAGAGUUAACUGGCUGACGAGGACUCCCCUCCCUGCCUCCAGCUGCAGCCAUGAACGAACCGUCCUGGUUUCUGCAUCCAAACCAGCUGCAUUAAAGCACCUGUCCAGGUAAACCCUGUUCUACUGCUACAGCUAGCGUUAGCUCCCGACCCACAUCCACCAGCGUCAGCAGAAGGAACGAGGCGGUAAUUAAUCUGUGCAGAGACGAGGAUUGUCCACAUGGACAGUGAGCUGAUAUUUAGC
ensembl:lncRNA